rnacentral:rRNA from 1 species
GACGAACGCUGGCGGCGUGCCUAAUACAUGCAAGUCGAACGCACUCUCGUUUAGAUUGAAGGAGCUUGCUCCUGAUUGAUAAACAUUUGAGUGAGUGGCGGACGGGUGAGUAACACGUGGGUAACCUGCCCUAAAGUGGGGGAUAACAUUUGGAAACAGAUGCUAAUACCGCAUAAAACCUAACACCGCAUGGUGUAGGGUUGAAAGAUGGUUUCGGCUAUCACUUUAGGAUGGACCCGCGGUGCAUUAGUUAGUUGGUGAGGUAAAGGCUCACCAAGACCGUGAUGCAUAGCCGACCUGAGAGGGUAAUCGGCCACACUGGGACUGAGACACGGCCCAGACUCCUACGGGAGGCAGCAGUAGGGAAUCUUCCACAAGUGGACGAAAGUCUGAUGGAGCAACGCCGCGUGAGUGAAG